CUUGGCGACCAUAGCGCUUUGGACCCACCUAACUCCAUGCCGAACUCAGUAGUGAAACGAAGCAGCGCCGAUGGUAGUGUGGGGUCUCCCCAUGUGAGAGUAGGACAUCGCCAGGC
rnacentral:rRNA from 1 species